UGGUUUCCGGCUCGAGACUGACGCUGUGGCUGUAUGACUGAUUCAGUACAUAUGUGUUUGCUUGCGAUGUUGCUGAACAAGUUAUUUAGGGGCGUUCAAGGUAGGACUGCCAACAUCUGGCCGGCUCCACCCCCUUCACUCAGUCAGGAAGUGGACUACGCGGCCCAGUGGGCCCCACCGUGGUAUUCCUUGUCGUUCGCAGCGGGGUUGGCACCGGGAACCGGCCAGAGAGCUGUGGGGUUAUUAAGGGACUCAGCUUGGCAUCGCUGAACUCUCUGGCUCCACUCCGGAGGAGGGUUUACACUGAGCUGAUGCGUUUGGGGGUGGAAGGUUGGAAAAAAAAAACCCCAGCAUGCUUGGUGUCUUUGGUGCCGGCUAUAGCCACACCUGUGAGGACUGACUCUUGACGGACCGUUGUUUUCUAACUAGAAUGCAACGACAAUGUCAUGUCAGAAAAACAGAACUGGGAAGAUUCAUAUCCGCGCCGAACGCAUUUCACAGUUUCUUUCAAAAAGACUGGCACUAUAGGAGAGGAUCACCAAACUCAGUAAAAUACAGAAAAUAUCACGGUAAUCCAUCCAAUAGCUGUUGAGACAUUGCAGUCUGGACCAAAGAGAUGGACUUACAGACCGAUAGGCUGACGUAGCCUUAUUAAUACUCAUAUGCGUAUAAGUCUGGAACUGUCAGUUCAUUUUGUCGAUUUCCAAGAGGCGUCCCCAAUGGACGCAGACCAAAACGCCUCCGGACGCCAUUGGACAGAGUUACAACCAUUGAGACCAACGGGUCACGGGACAGCUGUUUAGCGACGCGAAGAAAUGUAAACAGGCUACAGGCGAGAGGAGACGUCUGUGAUGAUGAUUCCGCCACGUCUGUGGACGAGUUUGUGGAAAUACCGAGUACUUUUUCACCAAAUGCUCAUUCAUCAGCUGCGGCCAUCGUGGCUGUUUUACAAAAGUCACUGUCUAAACCCCGCCCGCUAUCAGAUAAUCGGUUGUGAUUAGACCGGCACAAUUUCUGCUGGUGGGAUAUCACUUCCCAAUUGAGGGGGUUCAGAUGCAAAUGAAAGCAAUAAUUUGUGCCGGUCCCAGGCUAACAGACCGACAAAGCCACCAGCCGUGCCGGCUCUAAUAAACCUAAGAAAUAUGUUGUUAUUUUUGAGUCUCUCUCCUGACCGAGCAACUUGAACAAACGCAGCGCAGGAAAAUACAUUUUGCAAGAACAGAAUUAUAUUUCAUAAUUAUAUUAUGUCGUUUACAUGUUUACGAUUAUCCACAUUAACGUGCAGUAAUAACCCCUCUCGAGCGGUUGCAUUCACGUACACUCAAACUGGCUCUGUGAGACCGUGGCUCGCUCGAUCACGGUGUCGAUCCCUCUCGAACUCUAGACACUCUGUGCUCGCUCAAGUUUGCCUUCCCGCUCGCUCAACAUGGCGGUGUCAUAUUUGUGCCACAAAAUCAGCCAAUGGCUGUAUCAUUGUGUGUUUGCGUGUGUUGGUUAGUUGGUUUAUUUAGGUUUACAUUAAAAUGAGCAAAGCAUGACAAUUUGUGUGAAUAUACAAAUGAAAAAAAGAAAUAACUAUACACGUUUACACCAGUCCAUUUCACGCAAUAUAACUCAAACAAUCAACAACUGAAAAGGGAAUAGACUGAAGCACAAGGCUUAUUUUUGCCUAUCCUAUCCAAUCCAUAGGAUAACCCAGAAUAUUAGCAAUAUGAAAGAAACAAAAGAAAAAAACUAAAGAAAAACGUUUAAUAAUGAUUAAUCAAAAUCAUGGUCCUUAAUAAAAAUGUAAUAUACAUUUUUAAGCAUUUACAUUAUAACACUUAAUUAGUUAAAAAAAAAAAACUGAAACACAUCUGUAUUUUACCUAGG